GCCGGGCGUGGUGGCUCACACCUGUAAUCCCAGCACUUUGGGAGGCUGAGGCGGGUGGAUCACCUGAGGUCAGGAGUUCGAGACCAGCCUGGCCAACAUGGUGAAACCCUGUCUCUA
rnacentral:SRP_RNA from 2 species